CGUGUGAGCAACCACUACGAAACUUUUCUGCCGAAAAUACUACAGAUUGUUCUGCAGUAAAACUUGAUUAUCCGUGUACAUGUUGCACAACAGUGGAUGAACUACGUCAUCGAUCAUACAGCACGCGCUUUUGGUCAGUGCGACACGAAGCAGAAGCGAGUGUUAAAACACAAAAAUUCUGUUUAUCUUCGCUUCCUGUGUUGUCAGAUCAAAUGGAGGAACAUGCUGAAUGCCAGAAGAUAUUACAGACAACAAUACUGCUCAGUGCAGUAACCAGACCUGGAAAAAAGCACUGCUCAAGGCAAACUUUUGGGACAGAGCGCUGCAUACAUGGGUUUACGCACAAACUGAGAUUUUGCAAGUCCACUGUCAAAGUCAUAAAGGGAGAUGGUGGACAAUGUUGAACAUUGAGUUGAAGUCCUGGAAUCUCGGUCAACUGCAGAUAGCAGCAUGACGUAAAGCAGACGUCUUGUUUCCCAGUCCAAUUUUAGUCAGAUAUUCUUGGUGGUAUGAAACCUGGAGUCAACACAGGUUUUUAGAGGUCUGCAAGUACAGAGUUUUAAAUUGUGAAAAAAA
rnacentral:lncRNA from 1 species